GCGAUUGCAAGUGCAACAAUGAAGAAUUCAAGUCCUGUAAAUGAGUAUUUCGAAGCUUUUCCAAAACUGCUUGGCUACGAUUGCAGCUAUUGUAGCAACAUUGCAAUCUUGUAAAUUGUAAUGCAAGAAAGAAGUUACAAAUCUUCAGUUGCUCAUGUCGAAAUGAUUUAUUUUCACUUUUCUAUCCAAGGUAGAGAACAUUUUCGUUUCCUUUUCAUCGGCCAAAUUCGCAUCGCGCGACUGUAAAACGAUGCACUUGAAACGCCCAGUAAACGCAUUUGCGACAGACCUGCGCCCGUCAAGCAGCAGUUGACCCGUGCAGUAGUUUUCACCGUAGUGCACCGUGUUGUAGUGGCUGCUGUAUCGCGCCGUCUCGCGCGCCGAUAGAUAUUCAGUGUACGCGUUUGUGCGGAUUCCUCCGUUUCAUUGUCAUCGGCAGGACAACUCGCGGGGAUCGAUGAGGUGAGAUGCGAAAGGCAUCCAGACUCCGGAUCGCCCAGGUGAGAGUCACACGCGGAGGGGAAUCUCGCGAAAAAGCGCACGAUCUAGGGUAAGGGAGUAGCAACCUCUUGGGGCCAGGGCCAGUGAUCACGUGACCCGCUGUGUUUACCAAAAUGGUGAACGGCCGUGCGCUACGAACGACUCUGCGUUCCGUCCGUACGGGCACGGUCUCGCACAACUAUUGAAUGUAUAAAUAGCCGUAAUCAGCUGUGCUCGUGUGCACAGGACAAUACGCGCCGUGCGAUACGCCGACGCGCACCUCGGACACGGUGUCGCGGCGCGCGAGUCCUCCGGGCGAGUCGAUCAUCCCGCGCGCGUCGUUCUCGUUUCUGGCGUCUCGCUCGCGCUCCUCUCGUCUUCUCUCUAUACGCGGUGCGGCAACACGCUCGCGCGAGUAAAAGUUUCGAAAGUGGAUCCGCGGACGGCGGGUGUGUGUUGUCCACGGUGCGUCGUAACGCACAACGCAUCACGGUUGUCGCGCUACGGCGUCGUGCCUGGCCGAGUAUUUUGGGCGCGAUUACGAGGUAUGCCACGACCCGACGCACUGCGGUCACGGUACGACGAUCAUCCUCUCGCUCGUCGCGUGCGAUCCCGCCGUGAUCUCAUUGCCGCGCAACGGUAUCCCGAGUAUAUAUUUUACGUGCCGGAAUCCCGCGAUGUCGUCCGUUCCGCUCGUCACGCCAAGCUUACCGCCCAUUCGCACGCUGUACGUACUGUAAACUCACCACGGGAUCUUUAUUUCUUUACAUUGUGCCACUAAGGGGGUGACCCGAGGCUUCCAAGGCCUAAUUCUAUUCGCCAAUAAUGCUGAACUCGAAGGACAUUAGUAGCAGAUGAUCUCUGAUAUAGUUUAGUGCAAAUGAAAAGCACUUCAACAAAGGACAUCUAAAUGCCAGGAGGUGUCCUCGCAUAGCACUGAGUGCUGCGGCCAGGCAUUCUUAAACAUGGCCACGUAUCAAGUCGACUACCAGUGGGCUUAUUCCAUAAUGGACUCAUCUAGGAUAUCCACUUUCCUAAUAUCAAUCCUAUUGAUAGUUUACGGUAGUUUUCGAUCUCUAAAUAUGGAGCAAGAAGCGAGGGAAAGAGAAAAGGAAAAGGAGCGUAGUAACUUAUUGACUGGACUUACAAGUAAUAGCGGCACUGGCAAUGCGGAUGGCGCUAAUGGAGGAAGAGUUCAAACUCUGGAUACGAUGCAUGCUCUCUGUCUACCUCUCGGUGCUUCCAUUUCUCUACUCGUCAUGUUUUUCUUUUUCGACAGUAUGCAGAUGCUUCUUGCAAUUUGUACAGCCAUUAUAGCUACAGUUGCAUUGGCAUUCCUUUUAUUGCCCAUGUGUCAGUAUAUCAUUAGACCAUGCUCGGACGGCAACAAAAUAUCCUUCGGUGUUUGCGGGAGAUUUACGGGGGCGGAAUUACUCUCAUUUUCGCUCAGUGUGAGUAUAGUAUGCAUCUGGGUCUUGACUGGACAUUGGCUGCUGAUGGAUGCGAUGGGUAUGGGCCUGUGUGUGGCAUUUAUUGCAUUUGUUCGACUACCUAGUCUCAAGGUUUCCACGUUAUUAUUAACUGGACUGCUGAUUUACGAUGUCUUCUGGGUUUUCUUUUCGUCCUAUAUAUUCAGCACAAACGUAAUGGUUAAGGUAGCAACUAGGCCUGCAGAUAAUCCAGUAAGUCUCGUGGCUAGGAGAUUACACUUAGGCGGCGUGGCGAGAGCCGCGCCGAAACUACCUUUACCCGGCAAACUGGUUUUCCCGUCGAUGCAUCAAGCGGGACACUUCUCGAUGUUGGGCCUUGGCGACGUUGUUAUGCCGGGUCUCCUACUCUGUUUUGUGUUGCGAUACGACGCGUACAAGAAGACUCAGCUAUUGCCCGGCGGCUGCGAAACUGGAGUACCACCGCCGCGCCACUUCAGUCGGAUUAGCUAUUUUCAUUGCUCCUUGAUCGGUUAUUUUCUUGGUCUACUUACCGCCACUGUAAGCUCUGAGGUGUUCAAAGCUGCGCAGCCUGCCUUACUGUACCUUGUGCCCUUCACUUUAUUGCCAUUACUCACGAUGGCAUAUUUGAAGGGAGAUUUGCGUCGAAUGUGGAGUGAACCAUUCAUAUCUCAACCACCAUCGAAACAUAUGGACGUUUGACAAGAGUCAUGGUUUUCUGUAUAUUGUGCUGUAUCGGAGGCGGAAUUCUUGCGUGAGAUUCACCACCAUGUAACUUCACACUCUUGUUUUCAUCAAUGUCAUUUAAUAAAAACGAACACGGAACCUGAAUUCUACCUGAAUUAGAUCUUACAAUGAAGGCAUCUUUAAGCGUAUCAUUGGAUAGCAUCUCGUUAACUUCGUAGCGAUUAUAGUUUAUCAUUCUUCAUUCGUUUACCUGUCCAUAGCACAAGCAAUUUAUUCUCCAUCGUUGUCACGUAAUUUCUUAAACGAAUUUCUAACAUUUUAUAUAAUAAUUGCUUAUACGAUAAGUAAUGUAAUGAAUUUUUCUCGUUUUUUGUUACUCGA
rnacentral:misc_RNA from 1 species